UGCGAUUGCAGAUUCUAGUGAGUCAUCGAAUCUUUGAACGCACAUCGCGCCCUUUGGCAUUCCGAAGGGCAUGCCUGUUCGAGCGUCAUUAUCACCCCUCAAGCCCCGUGCUUGGUGUUGGACGGCUUGGUCGAGGUCCGCCUCGACCCCUCCCAAAGACAAUGACGGCGGCCUGUGGCUCCCCCGGCACACUGAGCUUCUCACCGAGCACGUGUCGGAUCGCGGGCGUCCAGGUCCCGGUCGGCCUCCUUGUUCGCAAGGACCAUUUUUCUCAAGGUUGACCUCGGAUCAGGUAGGAAUACGCGCUGAACUUAAGCAUAUCAAUAAGCGGAGGAAUCUUGCUGAA
rnacentral:rRNA from 1 species